AACGAGCGCUGGCGGCAGGCUUAACACAUGCAAGUCGAACGCAUCGCAAGAUGAGUGGCAGACGGGUGAGUAACGCGUGGGAACAUACCCUUUUCUACGGAAUAGCUCUGGGAAACUGGAAUUAAUACCGUAUACGCCCUACGGGGGAAAGAUUUAUCGGGGAAGGAUUGGCCCGCGUUGGAUUAGCUAGUUGGUGGGGUAAAGGCCUACCAAGGCGACGAUCCAUAGCUGGUCUGAGAGGAUGAUCAGCCACAUUGGGACUGAGACACGGCCCAAACUCCUACGGGAGGCAGCAGUGGGGAAUAUUGGACAAUGGGCGCAAGCCUGAUCCAGCCAUGCCGCGUGAGUGAUGAAGGCCUUAGGGUUGUAAAGCUCUUUCACCGAUGAAGAUAAUGACGGUAGUCGGAGAAGAAGCCCCGGCUAACUUCGUGCCAGCAGCCGCGGUAA
rnacentral:rRNA from 1 species